CCCCACCCUUCAGAUCAUGGUAUCUAAGCAUGAAAUGUCAUUGCAUCAUUCAUUUACUUGCUACUCACUUUCUAAACCAAUCACUCAAUCAUGUGCAGCAUCUAGCGGGCAGCCAUCAUAAUGAGAUGUGCUUAUAAGCUAGCUUCUUGAGGAGCCCAAGCAAGGGGUACUACGAUGGUCCAAACCCAGACAAAUAUUAGACCAAGGAUCUGUUUGGGAGAAUCCAGACAAGUCUCACUGGCUCCAGUAGGAUGGGCUGGAGAAGAAUGAAGGUCGAGAGUGGGGGAGAAGAAGGAAGCACUGGGGCAUCAUGGGGCCCGAUCCCCACAAGAUGAAAAAAAGACCUGAGAGAUCUUUUAAUUCAUCCCAUGGGGAUUGUGCAUGCAUGGCCCCAUGGACUAUCCCUUUCCUGCUACC